AUAUUUCAACAGAAAUCAUGUAUUUUCCAAAUUUUGCUUUGUUAUUUCACUGGCUCGGACCUAGUGAAUGUGGAUAGCACCGAUCUAAUAUUGAGAGAACACACGAGCAGAUUACCAGGUCGUCAGCUCCCGCGAACAAUUAGCAGUGAAGAGGACAACGCAGAGCUGCGCCGCCACGACAUGGACAGAGCAAGAUACUGCCAGAAAAGAUCUUACUUCUUGGUGAGCUUCCAGGGAUAUUAGCAUCUCUCAAAGAGGCCCUGGAGUCCAUGAAACGAGGUUCAUUCAGCUCAAGCCCAAGAUCAUCUGAGCUGUGUCUUCCUGAAACCUCAGAAAUGGUUAGAAAAUU